rnacentral:rRNA from 1 species
GGGGGGGGGGGGGGGGGGGGGGGGGGGGGGGGGGGGGGGGGGGGGCGGGGGGGGGGGGGCGGGGGAGGGGGGGACGGGGGGGGAGUGCAGCGGGGCGUGCCCGGGCGUGGGGGGGCACUAGUCGCAAGGGUGGCUAAGACGGCGGACGGGCGAAGAGUGAAGGCGGCGGGCCGGAGGGCCGCGCGGGAGUGGAGAGGGAGAUGUCAGGUUAGGUAGUUGGUGGGGUGAGGGCUCACCAAGCCAGCGAUCUGUAGCUGGUCUGAGAGGACGCCCAGCCCCACUGGGACUGAGACACGGCCCAGACUCCUACGGGAGGCAGCAGUGGGGAAUUUUGGACAAUGGGCGCAAGCCUGAUCCAGCAAUGCCGCGUGCAGGAAGAAGGCCUUCGGGUUGUAAACUGCUUUUGUACGGAACGAAACGGCUCUGGUUAAUACCCGGGGCUAAUGACGGUACCGUAAGAAUAAGCACCGGCUAACUACGUG